GGUUAAGCGACCAAGCGUACACGGUGGAUGCCCUGGCAGUCAGAGGCGAUGAAGGACGUGCUAAUCUGCGAAAAGCGCCGGUAAGGUGAUAUGAACCGUUAUAACCGGCGAUGUCCGAAUGGGGAAACCCAGUGUGACUCGUCACACUAUCAUUAACUGAAUCCAUAGGUUAAUGAGGCGAACCGGGGGAACUGAAACAUCUAAGUACCCCGAGGAAAAGAAAUCAACCGAGAUUCCCCCAGUAGCGGCGAGCGAACGGGGAGGAGCCCAGAGCCUGAAUCAGCAUAUGUGUUAGUGGAAGCGUCUGGAAAGGCGCGCGAUACAGGGUGACAGCCCCGUACACAAAAGCGCAUAUGCUGUGAGCUCGAUGAGUAGGGCGGGACACGUGGUAUCCUGUCUGAAUAUGGGGGGACCAUCCUCCAAGGCUAAAUACUCCUGACUGACCGAUAGUGAACCAGUACCGUGAGGGAAAGGCGAAAAGAACCCCGGCGAGGGGAGUGAAACAGAACCUGAAACCGUGUACGUACAAGCAGUGGGAGCAUGAGUUUACUCAUGUGACUGCGUACCUUUUGUAUAAUGGGUCAGCGACUUAUAUUCUGUAGCAAGGUUAACCGUAUAGGGGAGCCGCAGGGAAACCGAGUCUUAACCGGGCGUUAAGUUGCAGGGUAUAGACCCGAAACCCGGUGAUCUAGCCAUGGGCAGGUUGAAGGUUGGGUAACACUAACUGGAGGACCGAACCGACUAAUGUUGAAAAAUUAGCGGAUGACCUGUGGCUGGGGGUGAAAGGCCAAUCAAACCGGGAGAUAGCUGGUUCUCCCCGAAAGCUAUUUAGGUAGCGCCUCGUGAAUUCAUCUCCGGGGGUAGAGCACUGUUUCGGCCAGGGGGCCAUCCCGGCUUACCAACCCGAUGCAAACUGCGAAUACCGGAGAAUGUUAUCACGGGAGACACACGGCGGGUGCUAACGUCCGUCGUGAAGAGGGAAACAACCCAGACCGCCAGCUAAGGUCCCAAAGUCAUGGUUAAGUGGGAAACGAUGUGGGAAGGCCCAGACAGCCAGGAUGUUGGCUUAGAAGCAGCCAUCAUUUAAAGAAAGCGUAAUAGCUCACUGGUCGAGUCGGCCUGCGCGGAAGAUGUAACGGGGCUAAACCAUGCACCGAAGCUGCGGCAGCGACACUGUGUGUUGUUGGGUAGGGGAGCGUUCUGUAAGCCUGCGAAGGUGGCCUGUGAGGGUUGCUGGAGGUAUCAGAAGUGCGAAUGCUGACAUAAGUAACGAUAAUGCGGGUGAAAAACCCGCACGCCGGAAGACCAAGGGUUCCUGUCCAACGUUAAUCGGGGCAGGGUGAGUCGACCCCUAAGGCGAGGCCGAAAGGCGUAGUCGAUGGGAAACGGGUUAAUAUUCCCGUACCUGGUGUUACUGCGAAGGGGGGACGGAGAAGGCUAUGUUGGCCGGGCGACGGUUGUCCCGGUUUAAGCGUGUAGGCUGGUUUUCCAGGCAAAUCCGGAAAAUCAAGGCUGAGGCGUGACGACGAGGCACUACGGUGCUGAAGCAACAAAUGCCCUGCUUCCAGGAAAAGCCUCUAAGCCUCAGGUAACAUCAGAUCGUACCCGAAACCGACACAGGUGGUCAGGUAGAGAAUACCAAGGCGCUUGAGAGAACCCGGGUGAAGGAACUAGGCAAAAUGGUGCCGUAACUUCGGGAGAAGGCACGCUGACACGUAGGUGAAGUGAUUUACUCAUGGAGCUGAAGUCAGUCGAAGAUACCAGCUGGCUGCAACUGUUUAUUAAAAACACAGCACUGUGCAAACACGAAAGUGGACGUAUACGGUGUGACGCCUGCCCGGUGCCGGAAGGUUAAUUGAUGGGGUCAGCGCAAGCGAAGCUCCUGAUCGAAGCCCCGGUAAACGGCGGCCGUAACUAUAACGGUCCUAAGGUAGCGAAAUUCCUUGUCGGGUAAGUUCCGACCUGCACGAAUGGCGUAAUGAUGGCCAGGCUGUCUCCACCCGGGACUCAGUGAAAUUGAACUCGCUGUGAAGAUGCAGUGUACCCGCGGCAAGACGGAAAGACCCCGUGAACCUUUACUAUAGCUUGACACUGAACACUGGUCCUUGAUGUGCAGGAUAGGUGGGAGGCUUUGAAGUGUGGACGCCAGUCUGCAUGGAGCCGUCCUUGAAAUACCACCCUUUAAUGGCUGGUGUUCUAACGUAGACCCGUGAACCGGGUUGCGGACAGUGUCUGGUGGGUAGUUUGACUGGGGCGGUCUCCUCCUAAAGCGUAACGGAGGAGCACGAAGGUUGGCUAAUCCUGGUCGGACAUCAGGAGGUUAGUGCAAUGGCAUAAGCCAGCUUGACUGCGAGCGUGACGGCGCGAGCAGGUGCGAAAGCAGGUCAUAGUGAUCCGGUGGUUCUGAAUGGAAGGGCCAUCGCUCAACGGAUAAAAGGUACUCCGGGGAUAACAGGCUGAUACCGCCCAAGAGUUCAUAUCGACGGCGGUGUUUGGCACCUCGAUGUCGGCUCAUCACAUCCUGGGGCUGAAGUAGGUCCCAAGGGUAUGGCUGUUCGCCAUUUAAAGUGGUACGCGAGCUGGGUUUAGAACGUCGUGAGACAGUUCGGUCCCUAUCUGCCGUGGGCGCUGGAGAACUGAGGGGGGCUGCUCCUAGUACGAGAGGACCGGAGUGGACGCAUCACUGGUGUUCGGGUUGUCAUGCCAAUGGCACUGCCCGGUAGCUAAAUGCGGAAGAGAUAAGUGCUGAAAGCAUCUAAGCACGAAACUUGCCCCGAGAUGAGUUCUCCCUGAGACUACGAGUCUCCUGAAGGAACGUUGAAGACGACGACGUUGAUAGGCCGGGUGUGUAAGCGCAGCGAUGCGUUGAGCUAACCGGUACUAAUGAACCGUGAGGCUUAACCUU
rfam:Salmonella enterica subsp. arizonae serovar 62:z4,z23:--, complete genome.